AAUGAACGCUGGCGGCAUGCCUAACACAUGCAAGUCGAACGAAGCCUUCGGGCUUAGUGGCGCACGGGUGCGUAACGCGUGGGAAUCUGCCCUUGGGUUCGGAAUAACAGUGGGAAACUACUGCUAAUACCGAAUGAUGUCGUAAGACCAAAGAUUUAUCGCCCAGGGAUGAGCCCGCGUAGGAUUAGCUAGUUGGUGUGGUAAAAGCGCACCAAGGCGACGAUCCUUAGCUGGCUGAGAGGAUGAUCAGCCACACUGGGACUGAGACACGGCCCAGACUCCUACGGGAGGCAGCAGUGGGGAAUAUUGGACAAUGGGCGAAAGCCUGAUCCAGCAAUGCCGCGUGAGUGAUGAAGGCCUUAGGGUUGUAAAGCUCUUUUACCCGGGAUGAUAAUGACAGUACCGGGAGAAUAAGCUCCGGCUAACUCCGUGCCAGCCGCCGCGGUAAU
rnacentral:rRNA from 1 species